GUUGUCAGGAUAAAAGGACAGACUGUCCCCAUGUUCCCACCAGGAGACGGUGGCCCGACUGAGGUGACGAGUGGAGAGCUGGAAACUCCAGCUAGUGCAGGAAUAAAGAUGUUCCAGCCAUGGGGCCUGGCGCUUCUUUGGAGUUUGCUUGUAAUAUCCUCGGCUCAAGCUACACCAAGAGGCCAGGCAAUUUUGAACAUUGGUCCAGAAGUCUUCAACAAAGUUUUUUCCCAGGAACUUAUAAAUCAGGAUACUAUUCAGAUCCUAAAAGAUUUGCCUCUUUACGAAGCCAUGAGGAAGAAUCAGGUCAGCAGCAUCCCCUUGGUUGGAGGCCUUGUCAGUGGUUUUCUGAAGCAGGUUUUACGGCUGAAAGUCACUGAGGCUACCAUUCCCCAACUGGCAUUUCAACUUUCUGAGGAGGGUCAUCUCUAGAUUAGGAUCCGCCUGGAUAUGGUGGCUGGCCUUAAUACCAUAAUUACCAAAAAACUCAUUGAGCUGCACAUGGAAAUCGAUGUCAUAGCUGAAGUCCGUUCGAAAACUGACUAUCAAGGGAACUCUCAUUUAGUCCUUGGACAGUGUACCAACAGCCCCAUUAACUUACAUAUCACUCUUCUACGAAAGUUCUCCUUUGCAAUCAACUUCUUGGCUAACAAAGUCAUUAGUGCCUUGAUCCCAGCACUGCCUACUUUAGUGAAAAAGGACGUGAGUGUGAUGCCUUUUCCUUAUGGGUGGGAGAGCAUAGCAUUGUGGGAAUCCAUUCACGCCAGUAACUGACCUGGUGACCUCUGCUCUACAAGGGCAAUGACUGGGCCAUUCUCAGGAAGAAGCAGUCAUUUCAGUUGUGAGAACUGAACCUUGGGUAAUGAAUUAGUGAAUACAAUUUGACCAUGUUUGUUUCAACUGGGGGGGAAAAAAGGAAGACUUAGGGAUUGGUACGAGCACUGUCUUCAAACAUCUGGAAGGCUAUUGUGAUAAAUAGGGAUUCUUAACCUUUUUGUGUCAUGGACCUCUUUGCCAGUCCAGUGAGUGCUAUGGACUCCUUCUCUGAAUGUUUUUAAAUGCAUAAAAUAAAAUAUGCAAGAUUA